rnacentral:rRNA from 1 species
UACGUAGGGGGCGAGCGUUAUCCGGAUUUACUGGGUGUAAAGGGAGCGUAGACGGCAAUCCAAGUCUGGAGUGAAAGGCGGGGGCCCAACCCCCGGACUGCUCUGGAAACUGUAUAGCUGGAGUGCAGGAGAGGUAAGUGGAAUUCCUAGUGUAGCGGUGAAAUGCGUAGAUAUUAGGAGGAACACCAGUGGCGAAGGCGGCUUACUGGACUGUAACUGACGUUGAGGCUCGAAAGCGUGGGGAGCAAACAGG